rnacentral:lncRNA from 1 species
AUCCUGCAGUAAAAUAUAUGGUUGGAAAGCUAAUUAAAUCAAGAAUGAAACUAACUAAUUAAAUGUAUGGCAGUAAAAUAUCCCUUUUAAGAAUUUAAUAUGGUUGGAAAGCUUUUCAGGAAAAGAAAAAAAGUGAAGUAGGAAAUUAAUUACCUUGGCAGUUCCCAGAUCAUCCCAUAGCCGAAGAAUUGUAGCUGAAGAAGAUAUUAUUGGCGGAUAACUAUUAACCAACUCAACAGCUUCUCCUGUUAAACCAUGACCAAGAAGAAAGAAAACGUGAACUAGAACUACAUGUACACCUGAACUCACAAUCCCAUUUUCCAAGUAUUCUUCAGCACUCGGCAAUUGCCCAGAAGCAAACCAUCGUCCUUCUACUAGAAAUGCACUGCACAAACUUCCCCACUGCAAUAAUAAUCAAGAAAGAUAUGCUGUGAUUAUGCUUCAUUAUGGAAAAUUUUAUAGCUAAAUUUUCUUACAAACUCUUAUGAUAUACCGCUUUACGUAGAGAGUUUACUGGGUUCCAACCAUGUUGCUUGUAGACCUUGUAGCUAAUUUCAUUAGUGACGUUGUCGAGAGCCUUGAAGCAUGUUCUCAUAUAAUCUGGCAAUUGUUCGGCGGCAGAAAUGUCCCAUCUUUAUACAUAUGAAACAGUUAAUUUCAUUACUAAUCAACUCAAUUAAAUUAAUAAUUAAUCAUCAACUCCAUAUCUAUUUGUGUUUCAUAUCCGUUAACUUAAUUAUUAUUACCUUUUGAUAACUUCUGUAAAUAAUAUGAGUUCAUCGAGAGUGCCAUGAACGUCAAAAAUAUCAUCUAUUAGGUAAAUAAAAGAUAUAGAUUUUGUAAGGUCUAUCCUCUGUUCUGACCAGUUUGAAUCUUUGAGAGUUGCCAUGGACCAUAUAUACCAUUUUAGUGGUUGGUUUCUUGCGAACUUUAGCUUUGCGGAUAAUCCGAGAUCUUUCCACCACCUAAAACAUUUUCCAAAACGAAAAAUCUACUCACUGUGUAUAUAUGUUAAAAUCAUGCAUAGACUCCACUUAUAAAAAUAUAUUGAUGUUCAACAAUAUUUUUCCUUCCAAAAGCACUAAUUCCAGAAUUAUUACCUUGAUAUUUGAAGAAUUUCUUGUUGGCACUGAGAUUGGACCCUCGUAAAAUCCAACUUAGCAAGUUGUUGCAGUUCAUUCAUCCACCCAAUAUUUCCUCCUUGCAAGUCUCUAAUGAAGUGUUUGGCCAUGAACCUGGCCAAGCUUUUGUGAUGUGGGUACUCCAGCGUCUUCUCUACUGCUCUAGCUUGAUUAUCGUCAAGCUGUGUCACCCAUGAAUUUAGAAGCCGGUAGCUAUAGUCUCCAGCUUCAUCAAGUAUAUGAUCUUCUUCUCCUAUACUCAGCUGUGAAGCUUCAUAUAAACCCAAUAGUCCUUUGAUGUCAUAAUCUACAUUCUGCUUGAAUUUGCCCUCCCUGUCUUUGAAGUUGUCGAAUACUCCUUCAUGGCAUAUAUCCAUUAAUUAGAACAUAAAUAAAGCGCAAAUUAAUUCAAUAACAGAAGAAUCGCCAACCUGCAAGAACGUGGUAACCCUCUUGUCUCAAAAGUCGAAAGCCAAGGGCAGCCUCAUGAAGAUCAUUAUAAUUAUAAGUGCCAUGCAUCAUAUAAUGCCUUUGCAGAAUCAUAUCAAUUUCCUCUUGAAAAUGAUACUCAAUGCCAAGGCGUUGGAUGGCAUCAACCAUUGCCAAACCUUGGGCUGCAUCUUCACCCUCUUUGUUUACAUUAUGCAUUAAUGAUCUCAACUUUUUCUUAUGAUUCUUCAUGUUAAAAUCAUCCUGCAAGAGCAUACAAACAGGUUUAUAUAUAUAUAUAUAAAUUCCAACAGGUUGAUUAAGGAUUUUAGCAUAAAAUUAAGAGAGCAAAAGAUGAAAAAAUGUGUAUAUUCAUACUUUAAUAAUGCUGGACUGUUCAUCAUCUAGAUAGAUCAACUGAUUUGAGAAAGUAGAAGGCAAGCUGUUCUCAUGGGUGAUGCUCCAAUUGCUAGGAUUAAGGGCAGCCUUGAAUUCUAUUUGGCAGAAAAACUUGGAAGCUUUUGGAGUUUGGUCUUGAGGAAAUGGAAUAUUCGGAGAUGAAGUGAAGGUUGCUUUAGCAGAAAAGGCCAUUGUGAUUGUGAUGAGAGAUUCUUCAAAUGUCUCAGUACUGCAUGAAAAUAAUUAAUCCAAGCAACUUAAUUUAUAGAUUCUGUGAUAGAAAGCACUUCCUUGUAUCGUAAUUGUAUCAUAGAAUAUUGAUGUUGGAUAAAAGUCGCAUAUUGCUGCCUUCUUUUUCUAUUUUUUUAAUAAUAUUUAUUCAAUUUUUAUUUUAUAUCAAUAAUUUUUUUUAUAAUAAAGUGAUAAUUAACAUAUUAUACAUAAUUAAAAUUAUUAAAUUAUUUAUAAUUUAUAGGCAAAAGUGACAAAGGAUUGAUCAAAUUCGGUUAGAAAUUUUAAUCAAUAUUAUUUAGUUAAGAAGAUAUAUAAGAAAUGAUAAGAUAGUACGUGAAAAAUCUUAUUAAAUUUUUUGAAAAAUUGAAAUGUGAGUUUAAAAUAGAUAAAAAAAAUAUUUAUAAUAGAAAAAAAAAAACUCUAUCAUGAGGGUAUAAUUAAUAUGUUAUUAAGGAGAAAAUUAUCGUGAGGGUAUAAGAUGAAUGGCUUGUGAUCGGUUAGCAAAGCAUAAAGAGACUGGGAGCUUGGGGUUUGAGGUUCAAGAGAAUUCAUAAUUUUAAUUUGUUACUUCUAGAUAAGCAGUGUUGGCGUUUGCUUACUCGACUUUCAUCUAUUGUGGCUCGUGUCAUGAAAGCACGAUAUUUUUCUAGUUCGUCGCUUUGAACAGCAUCACUUGGUCAUAAUUCUAGCUAUGUAUAGUGUUCUAUUUGGGAGUCUUGAUCGCUGGUACAACAAGGUAUUGUUUGGUGAGUGAGUUCGGGUAGUGAUAUUUCUGUAUGGAACUCUCCCUAGUUACCUGAUCUUCACGAUUCUUUAAUUUCGACACCUCCUCCUGAGACUUAUGCUAUUAAUUGUGUUUGAUUUAAUUAUUGAGAACUGUUGGAAUUUGCCUCUUAUUGUCUUAGUGUUUAAUGAACGAGAUGUUCAACAGAUUCUAUCACUUCCACUUGGGCGGUCAUGGGUGUCAAAUUGAAUUAGUUGGAAGCUUAAACGAGAUGGAGAAUUUUAUGUGAAAAGUGCUUAUAAGCUGCAGUGUUCUUAUACUUCUCCUUUUGCAUCUAUCUCGGACUUUUGGAGUAAGUUUUGAAAAUGCAAGGUGCCCCCUAAAAUUUUUAAUUUUGUUUGGAGAGCACUUUCAAAUGUGGUGUCUUGUUAUGAUGUGCUUCAACAUCGUCAAAUGCAAGUCUAUAAUGUAUGUCCGGUUUGUCAGCGUAGAAGUAAAAUUAUAAUGUAUAGUUUGAUUCAAUGUUCUUUUGCUCGAGAAGUUUAGGUACAAACUGAUGUAGGAUGUCAGUAUCCACGUGUUAAUUUAUUGAUGGAUUGGUUUUGAGCUGUAUUUAUUUCAGCCUUUAUUGAGAAAUGCAAAUUAAUCCUCAUGGUUUAUUGGACAUUGUGGACUAAUAGGAACUCUAUUGUUAAGGAACAUAAAGGACAAUCUCCAUCUCAAAUUUCCAAUAUGGCCUCACGGUUCCUAUAAAAUUGGACAGUUGUUGUUGUUUCUUCCUUAGCUAUUGUUACUACACCAAGUUUAGACCAUCUGCGUUCAUGGCAACGGCCACCGAAAGAAUGGUUGAAGGUCAAUGUGGAUGCAUCUACGGGUCCGAAUAUGAGUUUUAUAGAUUUAGGUGCUGUGUUGUACGUGACUCAUAUGGAAAGUUUAUGGUAGUUAAAAUCUAGCGUUAUCCAAGUUUUUUCUUGGCAAAAAAUGUAGAAAUUACAGGUAUUGUUAAAAUUUUAAGUUGGAUAAAGAGUGAAGGUUGGUAGGAAAUUCUAAUCGAAUCGGAUAUUCUUUAUUUUGUUUAAGUAAUUAAUUUAUCAGAAUUUAUUGUUAGAUUAUCAUUUAAUUUGAUUAUUAGUAAUUGUAAAUAUUUUUUAAAUGAGAUUGUUGAUAUUAAAUGUUAUUUUAGAUAUAGAUGUGUGGAUAUAAUUAUUCAUUUAUUAAUAACGGACGUUUAUUUUAAAUUAAAUUUAAAAUUUUAAUAUAUUAAUUCAUCUCUCUCUGUAGUAAUUUUUUUAAUAUAAUAAUAAAAUCACAAAUAUUAUUUUUAAAAAACAGAAGAAACCCAUUAAUUGGAUGAUCCUUUCAUGUUUGGCGUGGGUUUUGUUUUCUUGUGGUGUUUGGGUUACUGAUCAAAAUUCCUGUCGCGGACUUAAAUUCUCACAUAAUUUUUAUUUUUUAAUUUGACAAUACUUUUGUGGCUAAAAUAACUGCUGGACAAAAUUUGGUUAGCAAAAACGAAGCAACAUUAAUUAAUAAAAUAUUAAUAUUAAUAUUCAUUAAUUAAUAAAAUUUAUUUUCAUAACGUUUAAUGUCUCUCCUCACUUUCUGGCCAUUCAUAAGUGUGGCUAAAUUAGCUGCAGGACCAAAUCUAGCUACGCGACAAACAAAUCAAUAUUAAUAUUGAAUACAAUAAAUAAAGAUCGUCGUGCGGACAGCAUUGCUCUCUCCAAUGUCUCUAGCUUUUUUUUUUUUUUUUUUAAUCUGAGGUAAGACUUCAUUAAACAGCAUAAGAAUCCAUAUAAAAACCACAAAUUUUUUAAAGGAAAUUUCUAAGCCCAAAAAGAACAAAGCAAAUUAUAACAAUAAGCUCAAGACCUACACAGAAGUUCAAGUAAAAAAAUAUAGAAAUCCUAGCUUGCUCUUUUGGAAGCCAGUGCCACUUGAGGUGAGGAGCACUGAAAGUAAUUCUACAGCUAUUGAAAAGAAAGGGAAAAGUGACAUACAGACCAUCAAAAGUACAGAGAGGAACUCCUGAACUAUAGAAUAAAAAAAAUUAUCCAUACAAUUAUAAAGUUAAGAUUUUAUUCGGAUCGAAAAAAAAAAUAUUGAGAGAGUUCAUGACAAUCUUUAUAUAUUUAAAAUUUUCCGUUUAUAAUAAAAAAAUCUGAUACUAUAAUUUCAGAAAUGUUGAUAUAAAAAAAUAAAAAGCUUCUGAAUUUCAGAAACAAAAGGAAAAAAUAAUCUUCUAACGGUGAGAAUAACUCCCGUUUUGUAGAAAUAACAAUCACCAUUGAAGAGUAUACCCCUUUAAACAUUAGUGAGUCCGAAAAAGAAUGGACCGGGCCACGCAAUAAACAAUUAACAUAUGAUUCAAAAUCUCUCUCAGAGCCCACCUCCCCUUGCUAAUAUAUAAUUUGUUAUCAUUAAUUUUUAUAUUUUUUUUUAAAUCUAAAUUUUAUUUAAAUCAAUUUUAGAGUUUGUAUAAACCUAAAGUUUUUAAUCCUAUUUAUGCUUAAAUUAUAUUUGAUUAGUUUUAUUACAAUUUAGAAUAAAAAUUAUUGAAAAAAAAAAACUAAUUUAAAAAACACAUUGCCCUUUAAAGGGUUAAUUUAACUUUAUUUUUAUAUAAAAUCACAAAUUCAAUAUUAGAACCUAUUAAUGAAAAUGAUAUAUAUCUCUAAUUAAAUAUAAUUUAAAUUUUAAUAAUAUUUUAGAAUUUGUAUGUAUAAAAAAUUAAAUAAAAAAUAUAAUGUGUAUAAAUAUUGCGUCAAAUUAAAAGAGAGCCACACAGACCUCAGAUUGCAAGCGCAUGAGUCCAAGUUCUUCGUACAAAAUAGCAACCAUAAGAGUUAUAAGGCUCAAAAGACAAAUGACCCAAAACGCAAUAAAACCCUUAGACCCAAGAAGAAACUUGACCCAUUUCUUGAACUGGCAUGCAACAUAAAGAAAUGCUGCUCACCAUCGUUGCAACCUCCUCAUAGCCUCCUUGGUAAAUUAAUUGGGACUGAUUCUGGGACUGUACUUGCUAGGCACACAAGAGAAUAGAACAGAGAAGAAGAAGAAUCUUCUAUGAUCAAACUCUAUCUUCUAAGAUUAUUGUGGUCGAAAACAAACUAUUUGCUCCCUUCAAUAAUGGAUUCAAAAAUUUUAUUUUGGCCAAUUUUAAUGAAUGAUUAAUAAAAAUAAAGCACGUAAAAUAAAAUAUAUAUAAAAUAAAUAUAUAUUUAAAAAAUUAAUAAAAUAUUAUAGUUAAAUGAUAUUUUAUUUAAUUUUUAUUAAUUAAAAUAUAUUAAUAAUAACUUUAUUUUUAAAGUUUACAAAUAUAUUUUCCAAUAUAAGUGCACAAUCAACCAAUUAAUAGUUCAAUUCUAUUAUGAAAUCAACUUAGAAAAAUCUCUUUCAAUUAUAGCUGUGAUUGUUAAAAUAACAUAAUAAUUUAAUAUAAUAUCUACUAUAAAAUUUAUUUUUUUUAAAUUAAAACAUUAGCUACAGAAAUAAUAUUUUCAUUUUAUUUUCUUAAAUUUAAAUAAUCUAACAUAUUACCUAUAAAAAUAAUUCUUGAUUUAUAUUUAAGUAUUUUUAAAUUUAAAUUAUCUAAUCUAUUAUCCAUUAAAUUUAUAUUUUUUAAAAUUAAAUUAUUUUUUAAAUUUAAAUAGUUCAUAAAACUCAUUAAUUAAUAAAACAUUACUCAUAAAACACUUUUGUUUAUAAAAAUUUAAAAGUUAUUUCUUUAAAUUUAGAUAAUUUAAUAAAUAAUUUUAAUUAUAUAAAUAAAUUAAAAACGAAUUAAGUGGAAUAAAUACUUCUUAAUAAUAAAAAUAACAUAUAAAAUUAAAUUAUACAAUAAAUGAAUAAUUUGAUAAAAAAAUUUUUAAGUAUUGGUAUUGAAAUGAAGGGCAUAUGUCCCAGGUCUCUUAUUGUUUUGUUCGCUAUAAUUAGUCUUAUUUAACACGUGGUGUAAGCAUUGGUUUAUCGCCGAAAUCCAAUAAUCGUCUUUGAGCUUAAAGUUAAAUUGAAAAAAAUAUAUAAUAAAUUACAAUACAGUGACAGGUGAACCUCCAAAAUAAUACACUUGAGACAUUAUUGCAAGAUUCAAAGAAACACCGCACAUUCUUAUAAUUGUCGUCUUACUCUAUUUUUAGGAAUUAUUAUCACGUGUGUAUUUGCCGCAGAGUGCUGAGUUGCCUGCGGUGCUCUACUGGGGUACAGUUUCUGUGAGCAGAGAAUUGACGAGGCAUUCAAGAACAGGAAGGCGUUGUUUGUGGUCAUAGUUAUACAUCAAUGGAACCAUUCUUGCAAGAUUCAGACAAGCAUCGGUGAAAGUUGACGAAAAUGGCUUCCUAAAUAGACAUUCCUUGUUCAGUUGUUUCCAUGCUUCUGAAAUCUUCUGCUUUACUUGCUCUCUUGCAUUUUCCACCUUACAUCCUUCAUUUUCCUUCAUGUAAUAUUCUAUAUACGAUCCAUCAUGUCCGUCUUGAUCCUCAUCCUGCAGUAAAAUAUAUGGUUGGAAAGCUAAUUAAAUCAAGAAUGAAACUAACUAAUUAAAUGUAUGGCAGUAAAAUAUCCCUUUUAAGAAUUUAAUAUGGUUGGAAAGCUUUUCAGGAAAAGAAAAAAAGUGAAGUAGGAAAUUAAUUACCUUGGCAGUUCCCAGAUCAUCCCAUAGCCGAAGAAUUGUAGCUGAAGAAGAUAUUAUUGGCGGAUAACUAUUAACCAACUCAACAGCUUCUCCUGUUAAACCAUGACCAAGAAGAAAGAAAACGUGAACUAGAACUACAUGUACACCUGAACUCACAAUCCCAUUUUCCAAGUAUUCUUCAGCACUCGGCAAUUGCCCAGAAGCAAACCAUCGUCCUUCUACUAGAAAUGCACUGCACAAACUUCCCCACUGCAAUAAUAAUCAAGAAAGAUAUGCUGUGAUUAUGCUUCAUUAUGGAAAAAUUUAUAUCUAAAUUUUCUUACAAACUGUUAUGAUAUACCGCUUUACGUAGAGAGUUUACUGGGUUCCAACCAUGUUGCUUGUAGACCUUGUAGCUAAUUUCAUUAGUGACGUUGUCGAGAGCCUUGAAGCAUGUUGUCAUAUAAUCUGGCAAUUGUUCAGCAGCAGAAAUGUCCCAUCUUUAUACAUAUGAAACAAUUAUUUUCAUUACUAAUCAACUCAAUUAAAUCAAUAAUUAAUCAUCAACUCCAUAUCUUUCAUAUCCGUUAAUUUAAUUAUUAUUACCUUUUGAUAACUUCUGUAAAUAAUAUGAGUUCAUCGAGAGUGCCAUGAACGUCAAAAAUAUCAUCUAUUAGGUAAAUAAAAGAUAUAGAUUUUGUAAGGUCUAUCCUCUGCUCUGACCAGUUUGAAUCUUUGAGAGUUGCCAUGGACCAUAUAUACCAUUUUAGUGGUUGGUUUCUUGCGAACUUUAGCUUUGCGGAU